AGCAGCCGCGGUAAUUCCAGCUCCAAUAGCGUAUAUUAAAGUUGUUGCAGUUAAAAAGCUCGUAGUUGAAUUUCGGGAUCAAUACGUCGGUCGUGCUUCGGUACGUACUGGUGUCAUUGAUUUCUCCCUUCUGACGAACCAUGAUGUCAUUAACUUGGUGUCUUGGGAAAUCAGGACUGUUACUUUGAAAAAAUUAGAGUGUUUAAAGCAGGCUCACGCUUGAAUACAUUAGCAUGGGAUAAUGAAAUAGGACGUUCGAUCCUAUUUUGUUGGUUUUAGGAUCAACGUAAUGAUUAAUAGGGAUAGUUGGGGGCAUUAGUAUUCAAUUGUCAGAGGUGAAAUUCUUGGAUUUAUUGAAGACUAACUACUGCGAAAGCAUUUGCCAAGGAUGUUUUCAUUAAUCAAGAACGAAAGUUAGGGGAUCGAAGAUGAUCAGAUACCGUCGUAGUCUUAACCAUAAACUAUGCCGACUAGGGAUCAGAUGAUGUUAAUUUUUAAUGA
rnacentral:rRNA from 1 species